UGCUUCUUCGAAGCCUUCUGGCUUGCCAUUAAGAAUCAAUAAUAACUUUUCUCCUUCUUCUUCUGCAAGCAAAACGUAAUCCUCAAGGUAUUUGGGCUUCACGACUUGUCUCUCACUUCUUUGUAAUGGUAUCUCUUCAGCUACAUCCUCACUAGACUCUCCUUCGACCUUCUCCUCUUCGGGAACCUUCACGAUAGGUUCGCCAUUAUCAGUUAUAGCUUCUGUUACGAAUUGAUCGUUCUCAA
rnacentral:lncRNA from 1 species